GGAAUAUGCUCUUCCCUCGCCUCAAUGAGGAUCCUAUGUAUACAAAGUCCAGCCCAUUUUUUCUUCUCUUGUCUCAUAUUUUUGGAUUUUCCCCUUUUAUUUAAUUUGUAUACGCUACUAUUAGAAAAUCGAAAAGUCGCCUCUUAAACUCUUUUAAUUAAACUACAGUAAUGCUAAUUAUUAACUAUAUUAAUAGUGCUAAAUAUAAUUACAAAUUACUGUUUGUUGAGAGAAGCGGAAAAUAACCUCUUAACUCUUCAAAUUCUUACUCGUCUGUCUUUUUAAAUGGUCUGGACUCUGGACUACUCUCUUAUUAUUUCAAUUUUCCACUGGUACCACUGCAACUCCCUUAGCAGAAAAUUGCACAAUGCCACAAGACCGUGAUUGAUUUGGUUAAGCAAAUGAAUUAUUUUGGGAUUCUUCCCAGGUUGAGAUCAUUUGGUCCGGCAUUGCUCGGGAUUUGUGAGAAGGGAAUGGCUGAGAAGUGAGAAGGCUGGGGUUGUGACUAUUAAAUAUUAGUUCAGAGUCGAAACAGGGAGGAGAAAGUAUAUGAAAGGAUGCAUAGAUUAAGAGCAUCAGAAAGGCAGGGCCUCAUAAGAGACUUAUGGUGAAAUGUUGCUGUCAAUUCCCAGUAUUUGAGUUUCCAUGCUUCAGGCAUGUAGGUGAAAGAGUAUUGGACUAAUUUCUAAGGUGCACUCGUCCAGAAGUGGCUACAGAAGUGUGAUCUAUUUGAUUCAGUGGUGGAUGGUGCAGAUUUUGGCCUUAUUAUUCAACGUAAUUUUAAUUUUGCCCAGAUGGAAAUGUAUGUUGUGCCUGAUGGAAUGAAAAACAUCAGGAGCAGAAAAUACUGAUGAUGAUGAAAGAACUGAUGAUGUGCAACAGAAUGAUGUUGCUGCUGCGGAGAAGAGUGAUGAUGAAAAGGGAGGGGGUGAUUAGCUAAUGAGUGAUGUUGUUGUUGCUGCUCUGAGAAGGUGCAUUUCACAAACAUAACCUUUAAUUGUACAUUAGGCGUAAACCAUCAGUUGUAUGUUUAUUGCUAAUGUACAUUUAAAAAGGCUUUAAGACUAUGAUAUUCAUGAUGAGGAGACAGGUGUGUUAUUGCAUAACGCAAACCUGCUAUGAAAGAGGAAAGAAUCUUAAUUGUGCAUAUUUUUUAUUGUUAUCCUCUUACACAUGCAUUAUCAAUAAUUUUAUUGGUGGGUUAUCUCAUGUGUUAUCUUACAUUUACCUUUUUUGUUUAUUGAUUUGGAAUCUUAAUCUCGAUUGAUUUAGCUGUUUUGUCUUGGCUUCUAUUCAAAAUAAAAUGGAGGAAGAUGGUCACACAGGAAGAGACUUCAAAUGAAUGUUCCGGCUGCUGUUGCGGAAAAGAAGAAUGAUGAUGAAAGGAGUGAUAAUGUGCAUAGCAGCAUCAUUCAUCUGCACAUCAUCAUACCUUACUUCGUCAUCGUUCUUUUUUGCAUUAGGAGCAUACGUUUGCAGGGUUUUUCCUGUUUUCCUCCUCUCAUUUGCUCUCCAUCUUGAGGAGAAGUCAAGAAAAACUAGCUUAAUCAACAGAAGUAAAGAUUCCAAAUCAAUCAAUAAACAAAAAAACGUGAGAUUGCAUUGUUCAAAGAUAAUCCAGCAGUAAAGUUAUUGUUAAUGCACGUUUAAGAACAUAAACAAUAAAAGAAAAGGGUUAUGUACAUUUAAAGGUUCUAAUGACAACCAUUAAAUAAGAAGCUACCUGCGGAUCCCGGUUUAAUAGAGCAGGAAAAGCUUACUAUUUAUUGUCGUUUUGAUGCUUUUCCUUUCUCAUUUGUUGAUGAAUUGGGCAAUUAGCCAUUGAGGUUUCAUAAGUUUACUGUUGAGAUAUCAGAUGCUAUAGAUCUGGAUGACUGCUUCAAGAGAUGAUGGACUUAAGCUCCUUAUGCUUCCACUUUAUUUGGUUGUUAUUAAGGUAGGUUAUCUCAUGGCCAUCUCCAUAAAUGACUCAACUUAGUAUCAUUCUCAUGUCUAAGCCCGUGUAAACAUUUGAAACUGAAAUUGGUGUGUGCUGCCUGUUAUUGGAGAUGGCCUUGAAACUGCGCCACCAGGAUAAGAGCACUGCGUUCUCUCUUUUCACUGAACUGGAGAAUCAGCUCUUUCACCUAUAAAUUGUUAUGCACAAAGUUAAAGUGGACCAUUGGAAUGCAUCUUUUAUCCCUAGUCUUUAUAGAUCUUUGUUUUAGUUCUUUUCCAUGUCCACAGAAAAAGAUAAAUGAGGUUAUGCCCCAUUAGAUGGUGUUUGUAGUACUGCAACUUCCUCUGUUAAAGGAACUACAAAUAAAGUGGUAGCAUUUGAAAUUUCCAUGAUAUGAAGGUUAUUGGAACAAACUCAGGUCAAAUAUGGGCUUUAUUCUUGGUGAUGGGAGGAAAAUUAGAUUUUGGGAAGACACA